AUAUCAAUAAGCGGAGGAAAAGAAAGCAAAUGCGAUUCCCUUAGUAACGGCGAGUGAAAGGGGAGAAGCCCAUCGUGAAGGCCUGUUUCCGUGAGGACUCGGGCGAUGCCACGAUAGUUAAGCGGGUAAGCGGUUGUUGGACUAGGGCUAAAUCUGCUUAAGUGCAGUGCCAUAGAAGGUCGAAGCCCUGUUUCGGCCCUGGUCCUUUUGCUGCGCUACCGUUUAAUAAGAGUCGGGUUACUUGAAAGUGUAACCUAAAGAUGCAGGUAGAUCCCUGCUAAGGCUAAAUACGUCCACCAGACCGAUAGCAAACAAGUACCGUGAGGGAAAGUUGCAAAGUACUUUGAAGAGAGAGUUAAAAGAACGUGAAACGGCUAACGGGUAAACGGUUGUAGUGGUCGGAAUAAUCGGCUGGCUUUCAUGAUUCCUGGGUUAAGGGUCUCUCUCUGAGAGAGCCUGUCCCGCAUAGGAGUCUGCAUUAGCCCGGUCGGUGCUGUCCUGCGGCGCUAGGGACGUGUGUGCUCGGCUUGCUCGGAGUUGUCGUGCGUUCAUUCCUUCGGGAGUGGAUAAUAAGCGCGGCUGCCUUGUCUUGCUAGUGGUACUGUUCUUAGUGCGGUAACCCUUGCUAGGG
rnacentral:rRNA from 1 species